rnacentral:rRNA from 1 species
UACAGAGGGUGCGAGCGUUAAUCGGAGUUACUGGGCGUAAAGGGCGCGUAGGCGGUUAGAAGAGUGUGAUGUGAAAGCCCCGGGCUUAACCUGGGAAUGGCAUUGGAAACUGGCGGACUCGAGUGUGGCAGAGGGGGGUGGAAUUCCGCGUGUAGCAGUGAAAUGCGUAGAGAUGCGGAGGAACACCGAUGGCGAAGGCAGCCCCCUGGGCUAACACUGACGCUCAGGCACGAAAGCGUGGGGAGCAAACAGG